rnacentral:tRNA from 1 species
GGUAUUAUAUUUUAUAAAGAAAAUAUGAUUUGCAUUCAUAAAGAAAGAUUACUAUCUUUAAUUCCU